CCAGCACUAUAUAAACCUCGGCAUAUUGUUCGAACUUAUCAACUAAACCUUUCACAGUAGCCUUGGAGCCCAAUCUUUCCUCCUCUCUUCAAUCAUGAAAUUCUUGGUACUUCUCUUUGCCGUUUUAGCCUCUACUUAUGCGGUUCCUCGACCCAUUCGGCCAAUACUACCUACAUUACCCCUAGCUGGUCCUCCCGGAUAUUCAUCUUUUGCCUCAUCCCUCGGAAACGCUCCAGUUGGUUUAGUUGACAGGAAUGCUCCUGGUUUUGGAUCACCUUUUGCAGGUUUUCCAUUAGGUAGAUUCCCUUAUGGAGGAUUCCCAUUCGGAGGGUACCCAUACAAUAGAUUUGGCGAAAAUUUAUUUACCUCUUCUUUGGGCGAUGCUAAAGUUGGAGCCGUUAGCAAAGCCUAACCCUGGAUCUCGACUAGCAAAUUCAACUCAGACUCUAUUUUGUUAAUGGCAAGAAAUCUGCAUUUGUACGGCUAUGUAUAUGGAAUAAUAUGUUAAAAUAUAUUGUUGUUAAAUAAACAAUGUUUAUGAUAA